rnacentral:tRNA from 1 species
GGGGGUAUGGCUCAGGGUUAGAGUGCAUGCUUAGCAUGCAUGAGGUCCUGGGUUCAAUCCCCAGUAUUCCCA